rnacentral:tRNA from 1 species
UAAAUAGGAAGUAAAAUACAAAUCAGCUUCGACCUGAACAUAGAGAAUAUAAUUCUCCUUAUUUAU